UACGUAGGGACCGAGCGUUGUCCGGAAUCAUUGGGCGUAAAGAGCGUGUAGGCGGCCUGUUAAGUUUUGCGUGAAAUCUCGGGGCUCAACCCCGAGCGGUCGUGAGAAACUGGCAGGCUAGAGUGCGGGAGAGGAGAGUGGAAUUCCUGGUGUAGCGGUGAAAUGCGCAGAUAUCAGGAGGAACACCGAUUGCGAAGGCAGCUCGCUGGAACGUUACUGACGCUGAGACGCGAAAGCGUGGGGAGCAAACAGG
rnacentral:rRNA from 1 species